GACGAACGCUGGCGGCGUGCUUAACACAUGCAAGUCGAACGGAAAGGCCCUGCUUUUGUGGGGUGCUCGAGUGGCAAACGGGUGAGUAACACGUGAGUAACCUGCCCUUGACUUUGGGAUAACUUCAGGAAACUGGGGCUAAUACCGGAUAGGAGCUCCUGCUGCAUGGUGGGGGUUGGAAAGUUUCGGUGGUUGGGGAUGGACUCGGGGCUUAUGAGCUUGUUGGUGGGGUAGUGGCUUACCAAGGCUUUGACGGGUAGCUGGCCUGAGAGGGUGGACGGCGACAUUGGGACUGAGAUACGGACCAGACUCGUACGGUAGGCAGCAGGGGGGAAUAUUGCACAAUGGGCGGAAGCCUGAUGCAGAAACGCCGCGUGCGGGAUGACGGCCUUCGGGUUGUAAACCGCUUUCGCCUGUGACGAAGCGUGAGUGACGGUAAUGGGUAAAGAAGCACCGGCUAACUACGUG
rnacentral:rRNA from 1 species